UAUAAUUGUUAUGGGUGAAGCAAAUGAAUCAGAUAUAGCAAAAUCCACGCAUCAUGUUUGUUUUGCACACAUGAUACAAAUUCUCAAAAGACAUCAGAAAGAAAUGUGCGAAAAGAAUAUAGCGUAGUCCAUAUAGCAAUGCGUUUCUUGGGCGUCUAAUAGCGUCUAUAUAGGGGACGUCUAACAAAAUAAAUUUUUACUUCUGCGCAUAUCUUAACAUAUCUGGUUAUAGGUGGGCCGGAAACUGGUUAGGUGGGAAUCUGGUUAGCUUGAACGUCUCAGGACUGGACUGAUUUUUUUUUUUUUUCUCUCUGCAUGGAGUUUUGCACCUCAAAGUUUUGAUUCUGUGGUUUUGAUUCUCGGAAAUUGAAUAUUAUUUAUAUACUGUAUAUACCUCCGCCGAUAAUUUCAAUUUAUAAGUGGAGUGAAAUCUCUCGAAAGAGCAUGCAACUGCCAACUUUAUACUCAUUUACUUAUUUGGCAGUUAGUGACGUCGCUUGUAUAGAUACAACCAUGCAUAAAGUAAGGGGCCAACCAUUUAACUUUUGAGGGAGGGGGUGGGUGAUUUACUGCUGGCAGGGAAUUUUUUUCUGGGAUCGUUAUGUGCAAGGUUGUUUUUUUUAUCCCAUCACAAUGUACGAUUUUUUUUUGCGAUAUUUUUCAAUAGCUUAUACUAUUUAGA